AACACCUAGCUCUCGUGACAGGAUAGGCACUCUGGUCAUUGUCUCCCCCGUCCCGACUGAGGACAAGCCAGGGUACCCAGCCCUGCAGCCCACUUAGCCUAUAGCACUAGAUCUCCUUUAUUUCAGGCUCUUGGAGAGAGUGGACUAUACCAGUGACCCUGUGGGUCUCUACAGACUUCACCAGAGUUGUGACCGCUAAUGUCACAGACAGUCGACAAGGUGGUAGGAUACAUUUUCUUAAUUUUGGAUUUCCUGAAAGCAAAACCUGAGAUGUUUCAUCUGAAAAGUGACCCCAAAGAACGGGAGCAAGGGGCGAGAAACAGCAAAGAGGGAAGCCCAGACACGGAUGACCUCUUGGUUUGGCUAUGGCUGCAGACAACUCACGUUCUUUCUCACAAAUCCUCCGGAGGGGAUUUGAGAACUAUGCCACAAUGCUUCCCAUCUAGAAGAUUGAAGAAGAACUAGAUAUCAAGUAGCUUUUAUCAUUCAGUGGCCAAAGAGGCCACAAUAUUAGCUUUCAUUUGACUUCUGGAUUAUAAUGUGUUGGUACCAAGGAGAUGUCCCUUCCUUGUUAUCCUUUAUGAUGGCCCAAGGGAAAACCUGAUACCGGAAGACAAAGAUUCUACACAGAGGCCCCUGUAAGACACAAUCAAAGAGCUCUCAGGGCUGAGGAUGGUAUGCAGGGUCUCGUGCGUGCUGGGCCACCGUUCUAACCACUGAGCUAUAUCCCUAGGCCACAAUAGAAAUAUCAGUAACUCUCAGAUGACCGAAUCCAUGAAUAACGAAGUUGUUCACAAAUAAAGUGUGUCACAAAAGGGUCA